rnacentral:lncRNA from 1 species
CAGGUCUGAGUACUUUCUUCAUUUCAACAUUGAUUAUAGGUCAUUGUUGAUAUUAGUUACGCACACGAAAGAAUCAAAGAGAAAUAAUCUGCAACCGCACAGGAGAAAGCGUAUUUAUUUUUACCACUAGGAGAAAGCGUGCAAAAGACUAACCUUUUAUCUUAACUAAUACCCACGGGUUGCAAGACAAGAUAGCGAGAAUAAGUGAUAUAGAGAGAACUCUUUCUUCAGUCUUCUUCUAACCUAUGGUAAGUGUGUAGAUAUCGCUCUAAGGAGAGUAACUGGAUAAAAGAGACACCUCAGAGAGUGCUUAACCCUAGUACCAAAUAGCCUACCUUACCUCCUGACAGGACGUGGAUUACUGAGACCCAAGAGGAUUGUCACUUCCCCUAGAAGGCUACCACAAAUUCGGCUAAACAGGGAGUAUCUACGAGUAUUCCAAGCCCAGGCACCGCACUUACGCUAUGAAUAAUUACUCUAUUCCCUACGCGAAGCGAAUAAAGUAAACUCAUAAACCAAAGAACAAUAAGAACAAUAACUUACUAUUAUCAGAAGUUGAAUUGCCGAACGAUUCUAGAACCAAGCCUCUGGUUAGGAGACUUGACCCCAAAGAUACGAAGAAGAAGGCACCGACAGGCCAGCUCAACUCCUAUCUUCACCCUAUACUCUCUCAAUCUCUCUUGUUGCUAUCACCCUAAAGAGACAGAUCCAUUUGAGGGACCCCUCUUUGUCUAACUCUCUCUGGAAAAUAUGAAUUAGGGUUUCAGAGUUACAUCUUAGGGGAGUAGGGUCUUUAUUUAUAGCCCCCUAGGAAUCACCACAGCCCUUGGAUCAAACCGACUAAAACGUGCGCUUAUGAUUAAUCCUCAAAGUCGGUGGAGGCAGGAUCCACGUGGUUUGCUCCGAUUGGUGGAGAGGCCCGGGUGGCCACCCCUGUCAGGGUGGGGCGCCCGCCCUUGCCCUAUGACAGAUGGGUCCUACCUUUCAGGUGGUGGCUCCUGGACUCUUCUAGAGUCUUCCUGAGUUGACGUUCCGGUCUUCUCUCUAUGUAAAUCUAACAUGUGGACCUGCUUUUGUUAUUAUUCCGGUAACCCCCUGCAGAAAUAGACAAUCACCAAAACUCAUGGAAUUAUGUUAGUGAUAACCCUAUUUCUACUAAGUGCUUGCAAAUAGGUCAUUUUUCAUGUUAUGUUGACGGUUAAAAUUAAUAGUUAUCUACCGUCAACAAACUCCCCCACACUUAUCUUUUACUCAUCCUCAAGGAAAAAGGAUAGAUUAUUUUAAUCAUAACCUCAAACCAAGACAUCACCAGAUUUAUUCCAAGUCAUACCUGUACUAUGGGAUUCAAAGUGUCUACCAUAAAACUUUGAGAGGUUGAGGAUGGAACAGUACAAAAUAGAGUUCUCUUUUCCUUUAGCCUUGUCACUUGGAGUUUUAUAAUAUUUUUGCAAAGAAAAAUUAGCUUAUCCUUCUCCAUCAUGUAGCACACUCGAAUCACUCACUAGAGGUGGUAUUUGUGGAGCUCACCAAAGUAGAUAGAUACAUCAUACUCUAUAUAGGCUUAUAUGACGUUAUAGGUAAUUCAAGGAAAUAGCAUACUUACCUUGCAUAUCUUGCUAAGUCAAAACUCAGAUCCAUGGAGAGGAAUAACAUACUCUUAGAUCAAGAAGUGCAUGUGUGUGGAAUAUAUAGUGGCUAAUCCUAAUUCUAUAUUGCUCUUUUAAAAAUUCUUUCUUUCUCUAAAGCACUGAUGGUCUUUCCACAGGAUGGUAUGUGCUAUCUUUUAUUCUUCUUUCUUUCUAGGACACUUGUGCUUUUUCUCUUCUUUCUUUUCUUUUCUUUUCUUUUCUUUUUCAAUACUAUUAUUUUGCAUAGCCACAUACCUCCUUCUGUAACCAGAAAAUAUUGAGAAAGACUUUUUAAAGAACUUAGAGCAAUUAUUCCUACUAAAACUCUUUUCGUGUUUUCUCCCAAUGUCGGAGUAAAAUAUUUUUAUGGAUGGAAAGGCAUGUUUGUGCGCAUUCCCAGUGUAGGAAUGACAGAUAUAUGUGGGUGUAGGUGAUCUUAAUGUUAGGAGCAUGAUAAUCCUCUCGACAUAGGUCAAUAAGGUUUGACAAAACUCAAUACAAAGCAAGUAGCCUAUGAGCUAGUUUAUAUCUAUCAUGCAUGGCUCUAGUAGGACAUUAAUUCUUGCUACAGAGGAGAAGUAUAGCUAAUCAUUUUAAGAUUUUUUUUGAAAAGUAAAAUUCUCCAAAUUACUAGACAUCAGAAAUUAAGUUCUCAUAUUCAUGCUAUCUCUCUUUCCACAACAAGUUAAGUAAUAUGGGGUCCCUAUAUCAAAGUUCCCAACAGCAACAAGAAUUUCUAGAAAUUAUCAUGGCAUAAGUCUACCUUGUGGUCAUGAAUAAAACAUAUUUUGAUUAUUAUGUAUGGGGUGAUCUAACUAAAGAUAUUUUAUUCCAAAUUGAAACAGCAGCAAUAAUAACAAUUUAUAACUUAGAGAAAUCAUACGUGAUCGUGGUUCAAAGCAGAGACCAGGGGACUUCUCCCCGUGGGCGGGCGCCCAAGCAAGUUAGGGGCGGCCGCCCCUGGCCAGAGGCCCUUCGGGGUCAGCUUCGUUGAGCGUGGUCUUCGUGUCUUAUCUUCUCCAAUUUUGUUAACUUUUCAUGAGAAUUUGUUCGUUUCAUUCGUCGGGUGUCUCCCCCACACUAGUUUCUGUUAUCCUUCAUUCACAACAUGGUGGAGGUAAAAGAGAGACAAUAGAGAGACAAGACAUAAUAUAUAUAAUAAUUAUUUAGUUCAUCUCAUGCAAGGCUUAUUAUUACAAUAGCAAACUUCGAACACACUGAGAAUGAAACUAAACACUCGCCCUAACGGAUGCUAAGAUAAAUAGACCCUACUUCUUAGGGUUCUCUAAAGCUUUCACCCUCUCCUUAAGAGCGGCGGAAUCAUGCUCUAGCGUUACCAUUCUAGUGUCACCAUAAGUGAUGCAUCUACUUUGGACACGUUAAUAGGCUUCUAGAG